CGCCUGUAGUCCCAGCUACUCGGGAGGCUGAGACAGGAGGAUCGCUUGAGUCCAGGAGUUCUGGGCUGUAGUGUGCUAUGCCAAUCGGGUGUCCGCACUAAGUUCGGCAUCAAUAUGGUGACCUCCCGGGAGCAGGGGGGGGGCCACCAGGUUGCCUAAGGAGGGGUGAACCGGCCCAGGUUGGAAAUGGAGCAGGUCAAAACUCCCGUGCUGAAUUUGAUAUUCUCUCUGGAGUGCACAUGUUCAAAUGUUCGGGACUUAAGCAUUUGUUUCCU
rfam:Mesocricetus auratus contig002253, whole genome shotgun sequence.